GGAUAAAAUGCAGGGACGGACUGAUGACGUAGGAGGGAGAGACGGAUAAAGUGCAGGGACGGACUGAUGACGUAGGAGGGAGAGACGGAUAAAGUGCAGGGACGGACUGAUGACGUAGGAAGGAGAAAGACAAAUUGCAGAAGUGGCAUUUUCAUGCAGGAGCGAGAGGAUGGGCUCUUGUGCACUAGUGAAGGUGUUGCCUUUGGAGAGGCGUCUGAGUAGUUUACCCACGGUAACGAGAAGGAAGAUGAUGAAGGGCUGGUUUGGCUCGCAGACGAGGGCUGGACAAACAGGGGGACUCACCUGCUCUUGACCUCAGUGGUUGAAGAUGAUUGAGAACUCGGGUAAUUCAAAAGACUCAUAAAGGUGAAAAUGUAAGCAAGACAAGGAACUAUUCAAGAGAUAUUAUACCUCCUCAGGGGCUAAAGCUGACAGCAUCCAGAACGAAACAGUCAUUCCAAUCCAAUAUGUCGAGCUCAUUAUAACCCCAGAAUGACCCGUUUUAUUUUCAUUCAAGAAAGAGUUACGGAGACAUUCUGCUGGCUCUGGGAGGAUGAGGGUCAGCGAAACAGCGAGGGGCCCUGACUUCACAGCUCUCCUCCUAGAGAGAUAGCUGUCACGAUGAAGCAAGUAAGUAUAGCAGGCCAUGUAAAAUGUUACCACAGCACAUGCUCAGAGAUCCAGGGGCUGUGAAUCCCAUCAGUGAAGAUACAACGUGACUGCGUAAGAACGACUGGCAGAAGGCCGGGGGAUUAGAGCAGAAACAAUAAAGGAAGGUAGCUCUCCAGGUUACUUACCGAGGGCCAGACAGGGGCGAGCUGAGUCAGGAAUACCGAGAGGCCACUGAAAGACGUGGGGGUAGACUAGCCUGUAAGAUCUGCGGCUCACAGAGAUGCCUGUGGCCACUGUACAGAGGACAGACUGGAGGGAUCAAGAGCAGACGAGAGGGAGCAACCUCAAUCAUCCAGUGAGACGAAGGGGCAGAUGCAUGGGGGCUGUAGCCAUGGUGACGCAGGAUCGUGGAGGCAGUGGGGAGUAACAGCCCCAAAGACAAACGUAGUAGACUGGACAGGGGGAGAUGAGGGAAAAGCUGUAUUUCUGACUCAAGAACUGGGCAGACAGUGGAGUCCUCCUUCAGAGACAGCACUGGAGAGAGCAUGAUUCGGGGAGGAAGCUGUUGACUUACAAGGCUUGAAUUAGAGAAUUCAACCAUUAAAUCUCCUCCCAGGCACAAGGUAUUUCUGUUUCAGUAACUCAUCUGGAGGUGGACUCUGUACAUGCUGUUUUAAUACAUGGGACUGUCAACUCGGAAACCUUCCCUUUAAAUCGGCCUGUAAAGGAGCUGAAAUGAAUUCAGUGGCCCUGCCUAAAAUAACGAGUUCCCCCACGAAAUCACUGCCCUAUAAAAUCUGACAGUAAGUAAGGGUGAUGUUGUGAAAUGGGCUGCUCAAAAGGCCAAACUCAUGGGGGGCCCCGCCCAAGCAGGUUGGUCAACCUAAAAUGACGCUGCCGUCUUGAUGGUGCCAUGAGAUGAAGGGGGAGGCCCCCACAGGGAGCCACGUGCUGAGGUUGUAAAUGACAGUUGUGUUGCGUCUGUACUUGCCUUUGUAGUUUUGACUUUAUUGCCACUGCUACA